rnacentral:rRNA from 1 species
AUUGAACGCUGGCGGCAGGCCUAACACAUGCAAGUCGAGCGGGGUUUUCGGACCUAGCGGCGGACGGGUGAGUAAUGCGUAGGAAGCUACCCGACAGAGGGGGAUACCAGUUGGAAACGACUGUUAAUACCGCAUAAUGUCUACGGACCAAAGUGUGGGACCUUCGGGCCACAUGCUGUCGGAUGCGACUACGUGGGAUUAGCUAGUUGGUGAGGUAAUGGCUCACCGAGGCGACGAUCCCUAGCUGGUUUGAGGGGAUGAUCAGCCACACUGGAACUGAGACACGGUCCAGACUCCUACGGGAGGCAGCAGUGGGGAAUAUUGGACAAUGGGCGCAAGCCUGAUCCAGCCAUGCCGCGUGUGUGAAGAAGGCCUUCGGGUUGUAAAGCACUUUCAGCGAGGAGGAAGGGUUGUGUGUUAAUAGCACAUAGCUUUGACGUUACUCGCAGAAGAAGCACCGGCUAACUCUGUGCCAGCCGCCGCGGUAAGAC